GGGGCAAGGAGACAGGUGGUGCAUGGUUGUCGUCAGCUCGUGUCGUGAGAUGUUGGGUUAAGUCCCGCAACGAGCGCAACCCUUAUUGCUAGUUGCCAGCACGUAAUGGUGGGAACUCUAGUGAGACUGCCGGGGACAACUCGGAGGAAGGUGGGGACGACGUCAAAUCAUCAUGCCCCUUAUGUCUUGGGCUACACACGUGCUACAAUGGCCGGUACAAAGGGUAGCGAAGCCGCAAGGUGAAGCGAAUCUCAAAAAGCCGGUCUCAGUUCGGAUCGUGGGCUGCAACCCGCCCACGUGAAGUCGGAGUUGCUAGUAAUCGCGAAUCAGCAUGUCGCGGUGAAUGCGUUCCCGGGCCUUGUACACACCGCCCGUCACACCAUGGAAGUUGGGAGCACCCGAAGCCAGUGGCUUAACCCGUAAGGGAGAGAGCUGUCGAAGGUGAGAUCAAUGACUGGGGUGAAGUCGUAACAAGGUAGCCGUAUCGGAAGGUGCGGCU
rnacentral:rRNA from 1 species